rnacentral:tRNA from 1 species
GUCGGUGUGUCCGAGUGGUCUAAGGAGUGUGACUAGAAAUCACAUGGGCCCUGCCCGCACAGGUUCAAAUCCUGUCGCCGACG